UAUACAUCGUUGAAUGGUGUUUGUGGCUGAAAGUGAAGGUCUUGGAUUAUUGAUGAUUUCACCACCAAAAUGUCAAUGAAGACAUCCCCUCCAACCUCAGAAUGGCGAACGUAAAGGUAGCAGUUCGUGUGCGUCCACCCAGCAAAAAGGAAUUGGAUGCAGGAGCUAUCAAUAUCAUUGAUGUGAACGAGGAUGUACUGAGUAUCACAAACUUGAAGAUUAACAGCUCCGAAGGUGACAGGCACCGCGAGCGAGUCAAGAGUUACUCCUUUGAUCAUUGCUACAACUCAGUGGAUAGACAGUCGGACAACUAUGCCCCACAGGAACUGAUUUAUCAAGAUCUUGGCACGGAGGUUUUGAAUGCAUCCUUUAGUGGGUACAAUGCCUGCCUGUUUGCAUACGGACAGACAGGCUCCGGAAAGACCUACACAGUCAUGGGAGAUGAUGCGAAUGCUGGUCUGAUACCCAGGAUCUGCGAGGGAAUGUGCAGUAGAGUGGAUGAUCUAGAACAGGGUGUCACCUUCAAGAUAGAAGUCAGCUACUUAGAAAUCUACAAUGAGAGAGUGCGGGACCUCCUUGCGUCAUCCAGCGACACCAACUACACGUUAAAAGUCAGAGAGCAUCCCAAGGAUGGACCCUAUGUCCAAGAUCUGACAAGGCACUUGGUGUCCGACUUCAAUUCCGUCAUGAUGCUAAUAGCUCAGGGUAACAGAAACAGGACUACAGCAGCAACUCACAUGCACGAAGCGAGCAGCAGAUCGCACGCCAUCUUCACUCUCAACUUUGUUCAGGCCAAGAUGGUGAAUAACAUGCCCAGUGAAAUAGUCAGCAAGAUCAACCUGGUUGAUUUGGCUGGAAGUGAAAGAGCUAACCUCAACUACAGCAAGGGAAGACUGCAAGAAGGAGCAAACAUCAACAAGUCCCUGGUUACCCUUGGCAACUGUAUCUCGGCACUAGGCAUGGAUUCUGAGGAUGAUGACGCGGAGAACUCAAUGGCCCUCUCUGCUGCCAGCAUGGAGAGCCUUGCUCUGAGUGAAGACGCAGAUUUCAACAGUCCCAAACGACGGCCUGGAUUCAUCCCCUAUCGGAACUCGGUCUUGACGUGGCUGCUGAAGGACAGUUUGGGAGGCAACUCCAGGACCAUCAUGAUUGCAACAAUAUCUCCAUCCAGCACCUACUUCAAUGAAACGAUGAGUACUCUUCGCUAUGCUAGACGUGCCAAGAGGAUCAUUAACCAACCAUUGAUAAAUGAGGAUCCUAAUGUGAGACUGAUCCGAGAGUUACGGGCAGAGAUCAAUCGUCUGAAGACGUUGCUCAAUUCAGCCAGUCUUUCAAGCUCCCAAGCUUCCUUGGUCCAAGACGCGACGAUCAGUAAGAUGCUCGCCGAGAACGAGCAGAAAGUGGACCAGCUGACAGAGGCCUGGGUAGACAAGUGGAGAGAGGCGGCCAGAAUUAUGCAGGAGUGCAAUGUGGGCAUCCGGAGGGAAAGCAUGGGCGUGAUAGUGGAGUCAGAACUGCCUCAUCUGAUUGGAAUAGACGAUGACUUACUCAGCACUGGUAUCAUACUCUAUCACCUCAUGGAGGGGCAAACCACCAUUGGAAGGGAAGAUUCAGAAACUGAGCAGGACAUUGUUCUCUGGGGGCCAGGGAUUGAGUGCCAGCACGCCGUGAUUGUCAACCAUCUUGGCCGAGUCACCUUACAUCCUGUCAACCAAUCGGCUUGCGCUGUCAAUGGCAACGAUAUCCACGAACCAACCCCACUCAGCCAAGGUGCUGUUGUUUUGCUGGGUAAGACAAACAUGUUCCGCUUCAAUCAUCCAGCAGAAGCAGCUAGACUCCGAGAGAAAAGAGCAUCAUCUAUCAAACCUGAGGAUGUUGAGGAAAUAAGACGUCCUCGGAAGAACAGCGUAACACUCCGAGUUCAUAAUAACCUAACUGCCAUCACCGAAGAAGGUUCUAGAAUCCGCAAGAUUUCCCUGAGUAGAGAGACUCCUCCAUCCAGCCUUGACAGUCCGUGUGCUGUGCCGAGGGGACGAAGCCUGGACAGCUCUACCUCACCGAUUCCUGAAGUCUCCUCAAUCAUGAUGUAUAACCCAGGGGUUGAAUUGGAGAGACAACACAAGAUCAAAGUGGACAAAGUUGAAAGCACAAGGAAGAGGCUUGAGGAACUACAGGACAAGGAACGCCGCACGCAGGCAGCACACCAGAAGGAGGAGAAGAGGAUGAAGUUGGCCUUUGAGGAACAUCAGCAAAUGAUCCAGGAGCAACGAGAGUUACUGCAGAGGCUGAGAGAAGAGCACGAGAAAGUGAAACAGGAGACAGAGAGAGAACUAGAAGAGAUGAGACAACGUCUUGCCAAGGAAAAAGAGCAAGGUCUGAAACAGUUGGAAGAAGAAUGUAAGAGCUUGGGGACUGACCAGACCAGGAAAGCCUCACUUCUUGCCUUGGGUGGGGAUGCAGUUCCACAUGUUAUUGUUCAGGGAACUGAGCCAUCAUCCGACCUAUCAGUCCUGGACGUUGAUCGCAAGAGGCUUGCUCAGAUGGAGUUGAUGCAGAAACAGUCGCAGAGAAAAGCUGAAGCCGUUCUUGAGAGAAGGCUGGCGGCCUUCGACAGGCAGCGCUCGGCAUCACUGAGACUCAUCGAACAGGAGGAGAGGAGGCUUCAUGAGAUUGAAUGCAUCCCGUCGCUCAGCGACCGAUUUGCAAGUGCUUCCAAUGACUCUCUGGAUUCCUCCUUGAGGUCCGAGGAUGAGACAAGCAAUGGGAUCGAAUCGAGAGCUGUGAUUGGAUGGGGCAGGGUGAGCCCCAUUGGUGGAAGGAGUGAUAGUGAUAGUGCCAGUGGCAAGGCUGCAUCAAACUCUUCAGAUAAGGAAGAUAACGGGAUUGAGUCUCCAAUGACUAAAACUGCAACUCCUCCACCAAGUGUUAAUAGAACAGGCUCAGUCGAAUCCCUACCUCACAGAACUGUAAAACCCAUUUCUAGUAAAAGUCAACCGUCUCCCCCAAGGCCUAAUAAAGCUCCAGUUGCUACAUCUCCAGUGAAGCCCAAAUCAACUCCCAACUCUGUGUAUUCGAGGCUGUAUCAGCAGCAAGCACCCAGAUUUGACUAUUUACGCCGUAAACCUCAUCGACCAGAUGUGGAGGAUCAAAGUUCUAGACAGGGACAUGUGCAGGGUCGUGGACCAUCAGUAAGACAAAGAUCUCUAACUGAUGGAUCAGUGGAUGUAAAUGCCAGAAGCAACAGACUUAAUGGAAAGACUACACAUUCCAAAUCUCCUAGAAAUGAAAACCAAGCAUCCUUGACUCAUAACCAGACUAGAGACACAUUGAAAACUGAGUCUAAGCUAAGAACUAAAAGUCUGAGUCCAAGACGUCUCCCAGAAAAGAGACCAAUAAGUACGAAUUCAAUUUCGCCAGCUGCAAGGAGGAAAGAAGAUGAUGGGAAAGAGAGUAUUCACGUACCAUCUGCGAGAAGUAGGAGCAAGAGUCCUCUGAAAACACAAGCUCCCCAGAGAACAGUUCACAAUUCCAAAACUCAAAAUUCAAACCCCAAACCUGAAAUCCAAUCAAAUACAACAGGCAAACAGACAUCACCUGCAAGAGUUAAAAGGACCAAAACACCAUCCUCCGAAAGUGCAAUAGAAACAGCUAUGAAGCGAAAGUCUGCUGAGAGACAUAAAAAUGCUUCCAAACUCAGUAAAGAACCUGUUGGUUCAAAAGGAAAAUCUCCAGCAGGGACCCAGGACAAGGCAAAGGCAAAUCUGCCGAGAAUUGUUAAGCCUAUUUCCAAGGCUUUUGAAAAGCUGAAACCGAAGGCAACUCCUCACUCAGAUGCAUUCUUUGUCCCUCUGGAUGAAGAGAAUGAUGCGAAAACAGGAAUCGAUCAAAUCGGUCAAAAGCCAACACACCUGAAUAACCAUGGUGAUGUUGUUUUGGAAAAUGAGAAACUAUCUCUAGACAGGCAGCCUGCCAUUGGCUGCUCGGAGUCAAUGGAAGAUGUAGUCUCAAUACCUCAGCCCCCAAACCCUGUAUCUUCAUAUUGUCCCAGCAUCUGUGUAACAAGUGACGCCAGCUUAGAUGACAGCUUCUCGAGAGCUGUUGAAGAGAUUUUGUCUGAUACUAAUGAGUCGUUUUCUGAUUCCUUGGAGGAUGCGGAUGAGCAACAGCCACAUGCUGAAUGCUGUCUAGAUAGUGUGGAAGAUAAACAUCAGCCUUCUGAAAGUAUAUCUAACCAAAAUGUUGACCAAUCAUCGAGGAGGAGAAAAAGAGGUGUUUCCGUGGAAGCGGAAGACCAUCAUCUUAUUAGAUAUCCUGAAGACGGAGAUACCAAACUGGCUUUGCAGGACUCUCUUGAAGAUAUUUCUCCUGAGGCACCUUCCACAUCCACAUUCCUUUUAAGAGAAAACAGAUCUGAGGCUUCUCCUCACUCGGAUGAACGAAUCACAAGUGGGUACAUAUCUGAUCCUUCCAAUGAUAAUUAUCUGGAAAGAACAGGUGAAGGUAGAGACUUAAACCUCAGUGUCCUUGAGGACAGGCCUUUAGAGUCGGAGGAAUCCCCUCAGGAGGCGUCAGCUUUGAAUAAUGCCGAGGGUAUCGAGGAAAUCAAGUCAAGACCAGAUGAUAAUGGCGAUCUCACGCUCAGAAAAGCAUCCUUGGAAAUGGCAGUAAUCGAUUCUGGUGUUUCAACAGAUAACAACAGUGUGUCGUCUGACCAUACUAUGAGUGGCAUGGAUAGGACAGCCACACCUACUGUAGUGGACAAUAAUCUUGAUGUCUUGGUCCAGCAAGAAGUAGAUUACAAGGAAUGUGUGACACCUGCAGAUUCCAAACGUGGCCAUCAAACUGAUAAUGCAGCUGAUGUUUCUGAAAAUGCUUGGGUUAAUCCUGGUGUUGAUGGGACUAAAACAGAUAUGAUUCUACAACUGGAGGAAAAUGCUGUCACAAACCUUGCAGCUAACGGUAAUCUCCAGGAACAGUCACAGAUACCUCAGACAGACAGUGAGAUUGUUCCUGCUGUUUCUGACAUUGACACCUUAAUAGACAAUGAAGCAAAAGGAGAUACAAAGGAGCAGAGAGAACCUGAAGAUGUUCAGAUACUUGAGAACCCAGAUAAGCUCUCAAAUCCGUUGCCAAGAGAGCCAGCUUCAGUGAGUACAGCGGAUACGAGGUCUCCUUUGAAAACAACCAGACACAGAGAUGGUACUCCCUCUAUCAUUGAAACAGACUCAGUUCCUGAAACGUUUUUGUUGACUGAGUGUAGUUCCAAAAUUGUGACUGAUGGUCCUGUACGAAAGCAGAAUCAUACAGAAACCAUAGGAGAAACGUUACCAACAGAUUGUGCUACUAAUGAACUGAGGAAAACUAAAAAGUCUUGUCCUGUUGCAGAACCCAAGAGGGACGUAAAGCAUUUAAAGAACACGACAUCACCAUCUGUUCUGAGUAACAAUAAGGAAGGGAAUGAAUCAGAGUCUCCAAGUUCAUCAGGGUCUCCAAGAAAAUUGGUCAGAUCCAAGGGCCAAUCAGCUGUGUCCCCUUCACCUCGCAAGUCAAGGAAAAAGUUGAAGAAGCGACGGACUCCCAUAAAAUCCAAAUCAAACAGAAAACGUGAGGAACAAGAAAGAGAGCAUUUUGUUUCCGAUGACACUUACAAGGGGACACCCCUAUCACUUUCAUACCUUCCUUUAGGAGCAUCACAAGUUGACACAGAUGAGAGAAGAAGUCAAUCAAGUCCCUUUUCAAGUUCCCUGUCAAGCUCCAGUGCAGGCACAUUUGCCAGUGAGUUCAGUCGCACAGAUUCCUUGCACUCAAGAAGUCCAGAUGAUGAAGUUGCUUUGAUUAGUGAUGGAGUAUCUGAUCCUCCAGACCUCUCAGACCAACCAGCAACUCCGACAGACUUGAUUGUUAAACCUCUACCGAGCCCUAAAACUCUGGCAGAAUCUGUCUUCUGGGCUUCCUCAAGCAGCGCCAGCGGUUUGGAUGAGGAUGCGGUUUUAGAGGAUGAUGUAGAGGGUCUUGUAGAGCCACUUGAGAUUCUGGAGAAAGAGCUUGGCCAGAGUUCAGACUUGAGUAUUGAUUAUGAUGAUGAGGAUGAAUCAGGUGGGGAAAAGAUGGUAGAAUCUUCUGAUUUCACCAUCUUGGCUGAUGGACAACUUGAUGAUACAGUGGAGGGUAACUCAACAGCAGUUAUGCCAAACUCUUCCAGAGAAGAGCCUCUUCUAUCACUCUUGGAUGAGAACUAUGACAAAAAAGGAAACAGUGACAACCAUCUCACUAUGCAACCAUUUCAAGGAGCCAAUCUUAGACCCGAGAAAGAGAACUGUCUCAGUCCAUACACUGAAAGGGAAGCAAAUCCUUGUUCAGACGCAACAAAUAACCCACAAAUCAUCCGCCAGAGUGAACCUUUGCCUCCCUCUUUCGCUGACAAGCCAACCAGAUUUAUCAACACGUUAAAUAUUGAGCCAUUACAAAUGGCACAUUCUAGCGAAGAAAUCAAAGAGAGUGAGAAAUCUAAAUCUGGUAAAAUGCCCUCUUCUUGUGCUUCAGUUCAUUUUGGCAAUGGUGAUGUUGAUCCUUGUGUCCAUUUGGAGGCAUCUGUUCAAGCUACUUCCUUACCAGACAUCCCUCAAGAUGUCAACAAGACAACUACUCCUUUAUACAACAUACCAGUAAGUCUAGAAAAUGUGGAGACAGAGACUAGCUCAUCCAUUGAUGAUGUCAGAUUUUUGCCCAGGGUUGAUCAGCUGCAAAUGGCAGAAGCUAAUAUGAGCUCAACUGAUAACACUCUUGAGGUAUUGGGCCACCCACAGAAGACACAAACUAAGUCUCCUGGAGUAGUUUUAGUGGAAUUGAGAGAGGACAUGGUACCAGACGGGGCUAUUGUUGAAUCAAGAGCAGAUGAGUCUCAAAACCUGGUCUUGAAUCGUGGGAAAUUGGUUACUGAGAUAAACCCAUCAUUGAUACAAGAAGAACUUAUUAGGCUGCGCACCCUCCUAAACUCGAUCACCAUAGCUCCUUUUGCAUUUGGCCUGCCUGAGUUACAGUCCACUCCAUCAGAUUCCAAAAGUGAGUUAGCUGCUCUGAAGGCUGAAGAGAUUCCCAAAGGACAGGAAUCUCAAGGGGAAGGUUCCGUGUGUAGUAUAAGUCCAGAUAGCUCUACUGAAGAACUCUCAAUAAUUGAACAACUCCGAGGACUGUCAGAAAAGCUAGGGUCUUCUCUCCCACAGGAAGAUACAACUGAAAUCAUGGAGAGAGCACGGACUAUCUCUGAUCAUUUAGAACAGACUCAUUCUAGUGUGUAUUCCCCAUCCUUAGUAGAAGAGCUAAGAGAACUGUCGAAGCAACUUGAUGCAUCAAAAUUCCUGACAACUGAAAAGUAUGAGGAAAAGGCACAUCCUUUUGAUUGCAAGAAUCAAGACGACAAUGAAAAAUCUGCCCUGUUUCAAAGUGCUCAGGACUUGACUCUCUAUCAGACUGCUUUUGAGAUAACACAGGAAACCCUCCAACCUACACCCAUUGGUAACCUUUCGCUUUCACCUGUCCAACUGCAGAGCACACCUGUACCAAGGGAAAAUAAUCCACUGGAAUUCGCUGGAAUUGACAUAAAGAGUCCAGUUGUGAGCCCCAUUACUUGCUAUAGCAGAUUUGGGCAAUCGGCUUCAGAAGACGGCAAAGAUGAAGUUUUUCUUGAAAACUCAGAAUCUAGAGGAUCAACACCUGAUGUGAAUGAGGUAUUUCACAUUGACUCUGAGUCGUCUGAUGGAGAGGACUCGUCUGGUGAUGAAGAUGGUGCUAUGGACACAGCUGAGCGGGUGUUGUCAGAAAUGUCAUCAUUUAGACAGCAGCUUGACAUACUCAGCGGUAGUGACACUUUAGAUGAUGAUGAUGAUGACUCUUCUGAAGGUUCAAAUGAUGAGUCGACUAAGGCAGCCAAUGACCCGGAGGAAGAUCAGAAGACUCAAGAAGUUCUUCGCAAGACCCGACCUUCAGUUGGUUCAAGGAGCUCUCUUGAAUGCUUGCUGCCAACAAUCUCUGAGGAAUGUCUUUCAUCGUCUGAUGUAGACGAGCCUCGCAUUGCACCUGCAAAUGUGUCACCAACGGAAAAUCCACCUAAAAAAUGUUAUAAUUUCACCCCAGAGGAUCAUACAGUCAGACUUGAAGAUCCUCUAGAUGAAGUGCAUGCUGACCUUAGGCCUUGUACCUCCUCUGUGAAUGAAGAGAUUCCCAGCCUAAAUGAACCAGCCAUUCCAAUCAAGUUCCUGAGAGCUGUUGCUAAGAACCUUUCUGAGGGUCAGCAAGAAGCAAGCAUCUUAGAAGAAGGAUCUUCACAAGAAGGCCAGUCUGCAAGGAGCCAUCUGUGGGAGCCAGAAAAUCCAGUUGUGGCCGAACCUUUGCUUGGCAAAGAGUUUGCUGCCACUAAGGCCAAACUGAAUAUGCUCGUCCGUAUCUUGGGUGGUAACUGGGAAUCACUGGGAGAGACAUCAUCAGAAGGGUCAGCUGCUUCAUCGCCAGUCCAAGGAGAAUUUGACAUCGCUCCAAGAGAACAGAUGCCACUCACAGAAGACGAGACUAAUGUGUCUGCCAGCGAUGAGAGAAUUUACAGCACAGUUGGAAACAGAUACGUUGUUACGUAUGAUGAGUCUGCACAGACAGAUCCAAUAACAGAACAGGACUUAGCCGGUCAAAUGGGACAAGUGCAUGAGGAAUUGUCAUCCACUAUUGAACCAGUUGAUUCUGCCUGUUCACUUGAUCAAUUUUCAGGUGCACAAGUCGCUGACAAAUUCACACAGACAACUUUGAGACAGAAAGUAGCAGUCCUAGCUACCAAAGAUUUAUCUCCUCUUUAUCAGAAAACAAGUGUAACUGCAUUACCGACUUUGUGUUCAGAAACCUCGUCUCUCCCAUCACGGCCUCAGUGCCAACCUUCAUCUGAUGAAGACACUGAUGACAUUGAAGAUCAACCAGUGUCUCAGCAAUUCUCCACCCAUCAUUCAAUCUCCACAGAACAAGACCAAAUAAAUUCUAACCGUCUCUCAUACCAACCUGACAGACUAACAGAUGCUCCUGAUGCUGUGCCACUAAAAAGUGCGGUGUCCCUUCCUGCUGAGCUCAAAACACCAAAAUACGACAAAAAGUACGAGGAUGGCAAAGGGCUUAAUGAAGUCGAUCAACAUUAUGCUUCAAAGGAAGGCUGUAAACAAGACAAAGACUUGGAGGUUGAUUCUUUGCAGCCUGUGUUUUUGUUGUUACCCGCAGAGCCAAUCAUAAAAGCCUCAGUUGUUCUGAACAAUGAAGUUCUCCGUUUUCCACCUUGUGAAGAGGAUGAGUCCCUUCUCCAAAAAAGUGGUUGUGUGGAACCUACUGUAAAUACUUCGAAGGAUGAAGGCAAAAGGUUAGAGCAGCGUGAGGUUGAAAAGAACAGCCUUCUAGUCAAGGUUCCUGUUGAGUUGGUGCGAAAGACAGCUGUUGUUCCAAGAGAUCUCAAUUUUAUGUGGCCGUCUGAGACCAGAAAAUCUUUACCGAAACAUACAACGCGGAAGGCGCCCCAAAAAUCAUUGCUUGAUUCAAGUAAAAAAACUAAUGAGCAUAAAUUCAGGGAGAGGCAAAAACAAUCCUCCUGCUCUCCUGUGGAAGAGGUAAUGAUCGGAGAAACAAUUGCUUCAAAGGAUGUCAAUUUGUCAUCUUUCACUGUAGACCCCAAGCCAGGAAUUGCUGAUGGGGACCCACUAAAUGGGAUACCUGAAAUCAGGUUACUCGGACCUGUUGAAGAGAUUUUAGUUAAGGAAGCUGUAACCCUGAGUGAUGAACCAAUCAUGUGGCCUUUGACAGGAACUAAUCCCAAUGAAAAUCAUCACGGGCAAACCUGUGAGCCAUCUGACACAACCUCUUUGUUCCAACCAAUCAGAGAGGAGUCAUCCAGUCAGAAUCCAUCAACUGAAAACUUGCUUGCCAGAGACGAAUCUGCUAGUAAGGCCCCUGUACAUGGACAGCAGCUGGAGAUCCAAUCUGAGCACAGUGGAGGGGAUACAAACCUGAACGAGUUGAAGGAGUUAUCCACAGUGAUGGGCCUCUCUCCACAGAGAUCUUAUAGCACAGAUGAGGAACUGAUACAAAUCUUCUCCAAGGGAGUCGCUCACUUUAGAAGUCUCAAGCAGGAUGUAAUUAAACCAAGGCUGGUUGCUGUUGCGACCAACACUUCCCCAAUGAAGACCACACUCAAUGAUGCUGAAAGAGUUGAUGCUGCUGUCAUGACUGAAGGAGAAAUCGAGCAAGCUCACGCUUACACAAGCAUGUCACCCAACAAUGAGCAAGAACUGUGUCUGAACCAGACAACCGAAAUUAUACCUGAACAAGCCAUGCCUCUUGCUCAAUUAACAGCAGCCCAACUACUUGGCAUGAUUGUCGAUAAACCACAGGACAUGAUACCUCAGCAGACCAAAGUUCCCAACAAUGACAAUACUAUAAACACACUGGAAGUUACCAGUAGCCCACAUGAGAUUGAAGCACCGUCUAAAACUAAUCUGGACCAUGAACCAGUGCUAGACAGCAUUGAUCCAGAACAGCCAGAACAGCAAACGGCAGUAUCUACAACACCAUCAUAUGAGAAUGCUACCAGUACAAGGCCUUAUGUAGCACAAGUACCUGAAAAAAGUAAAGAAGUACAUAGAGUACAUUGUCAAGACUCAGAGACAGAGAAGCCACUAAAAGAUGAAAGUAAGAGUCUUGAUGAAUCUCGCUCUUCAGAAGACAACAGGCUUGGUGAUGAUGUCAUUGAGUUUGAUGAUGAGGAGCAGAGGUUGUUAAAUGAACUAAGGAAGAGAACACGUGCAUCUCAAGAGGCAGCUAAGAGGGCAAUGGCUUGUGCACUUAAACUUCGACAGAAGAACCUCUCUGAUCUCCCAAUGGUGGAAAAUACAAAGGUCACCCCAGAUUCCCUCAAACAGCGAUCAGAACCAAAAGUAAGACCAGCUAUUGUCAAAUCCCAAGGUGGAGAAACAAAAGGGCGAGACUCAUGUCAAGAGCUGUUGAUGCAGAAGGAGCCUGAACAAACUGACAGCAAGGCUUCAGUACCUGAAACUCUUCAUCCCAUAAGUGAGAUUGCUAACAAAGAAUGCAGAUUUAAUGUUCUGCCACUGGAGGAAUUUGCCCAGAAUGUAUCCAGGCUCAUGGAGGACGAGAGUGACAAAGAUCAGAUAUCAACACCCACUAAAAGGAUCUCCCAUGCCAGAAUUAUUUUGAGGCAACCAAGUUAUGAAGAUGGUUCAACAGAUUCAGGGAACAGUUCGGUCUUAGAAGUGCAAUCGCCAGUAAGUCAUUUUGAAAACACAGAGGACAAACAGCUUGGACCAUCGAACAUUUCACAGCAACCGUGCCAUGGAGUGCAGGAUGAUGAUCAUGAUGAGGUGAGCAUAUCACUGGAUAACAAUCUUCAGUCACGGCCUCAAUUGAUCACUGAACAUAUCCAAAAGGAGGCUCUUUGUAUCAGUGAUUUUGAUAGACUGGCUUUAAAGGUGUCGAAGCUGGAGUGUUUUGUACCUUCAGUGGAACCAGCAAAACCAAAAACUACACCUAGCUCAGAAGAGAAGAAUCCACUAAAACCUCUUGGUAGUUCAAGAUUCUUUUCUCAAAGCCCAGACCAACAACAUAUUGAUCUGUCAAGUCUGGAAUUCCAACCGCAAGAAACGGACAGAGAUGAUGUUCACACAAGGCCGUUCAUCCAGAACCUGUUAAACAAACCUGGUAAUGAUGUUGAACUUUUACUUCCAUCUGAACUUGCCCAUGAAAAAUCAAACUGCAGUCACACUUCUGAUGACAUCGAAGAGAAGUUGGCAAAGUUGACAGAAAGUAGUCAUGCUGAGAAUGAAAGCACAGGAAACAGAUCAGAGAUUGGUGCAAAGAAAGACGACAAGACUCGUGUGAGUGAUCAAAAGCUCAUACAACCCGAGGAUGUUGCAAACAACGGCAGUUGUGAGAGACCUGAAGACUUUACUGGAAGGGACAGUUUAAAAAGUCACAGACCACUUCUUGGAUACUUUUCCGACAUCAGCUUCGAUUUAGACAAUGACAAUGAUGAGGACUUAAGAGCUCUGAAAAGAACCAAUGAGAACAUUGACCGCAUCAUUGCCGAGACAUCAAGCCUGGAGUCUGAUUUUGAGGAUGACACAGAGCCAGAGCUCGCAGAACUCGUAGAUGAUGAGACCGAUACCUUUACCCCUCAACGAUCAUCUGUUGAUGGUUUGGCCUCCUUCAGAAUUAGCCUACAGGAGAAGCCUCUUAAGGCAAAUUCUGCUCCAGCUGCUCUUGCACCUAAAGAAGCUGAUGACAGCAAUAACGAAAGCGAGGGUGAGGAAGAAGAAAUAUCUUCUCUGCGUCUCCAUGGUAUCCUAAUUUCACCAGAGAAGCUUGAGUGGCUUCUCGCUGACUCGGAAUCUGGGGAGAGUAGCUCUACUUCUUCACCAAGAGAGGAGAAUGAUUCUUCAAAAAUGCACAAUGGUGAAGAUGAAGGGCCAAAGCCAACAAGGGAAACUCCAGUAAAUGACAACAGAAGCAGUGGGUCAGGGAAUUUUCUUGAAACGAAUUCUGAGCCUGAAUCCAGGGAUGGUAACACUCACAAGCAACCUGGAACAAGUAACGAGGAAUUAAGCGGUUUGAAAAGAGAUCAACACAGCAUGGAAUUUGAAAAUCAGCAGAGACUUGCCAAGGUGUUUGAGUAUGAGGCUCCGGCAACAAAGCAGGGAAUAUUCCUGCCAGAGAUGAAAUCAAUAUUUGUGGUAACAAAAGAUGAACAACCACAUCAAGCUGGCAGUAGUGAUCCUUUGCCUCUUGCCAACUCAUUGCAUGUGAAGGAUAACAAAUUAAAACCUGAAAUACACGAGUCACAAGAACUAAAUGAAGAAAUUCAGCGACUGAAAAGUGGUCAUGGAAGUAGUCUGGAGAAAUCUGUGGAUUUGGAGGCCUACCCGCUUGUCAAUCGUCAAAAAGAUUUCAAGAAACAUGCCCAGGAAGGUCCUGAUGAUGAUAGCAAUUCAAUAUUAGAUACUCUAAAUACCAAUUUAACCCAAAGCAGUGGUGUAUUCAGUUCAAGCACAAGAGAUACUGAGCUGUCGUGGUUGAGGGAGAGAAGAUUGUCCUCGGAGCAGUUAAGCAGCACUAGCUCUGAAACAGAGGAUGCGGACUUCAGCAGGAUUCAAAAGGAGUAUCGAAACAUCUUAGAAGAUUGUCAAGAAUCUACACUAAAUCCUCCAGAAAGCACUCAGUCAACGCCCACAAAUGUCUUUACUCAGACUGAUGAUGAAUCUCCUAUGAGUAGCAAUGAUGAGAGUAGCUUUGGAAAGGAGAACAUGAGGCUUGGUGCUUCCUGGCCACUUAGAGAACCCAUCAGCACAAAGCUUCACCCAAGAAGAGACAUUGCCGUUGAACUAAUGGAAGCCAGUUUGAUGCACGGCAUAGGAGAGACAGAUGCCUUUCUGAAGUUCUUGGACAGUGACUUACCUCUUGAGAAGUGGAAAUCAUCAGAGGUUACGCUAAGGCAUCGUCGCAGUCAGAGUGUAGGCCCUCCAUUGAAGUUAGACGGAGAAGCAUCUAGACAUGAUCCUAGCCCAAGUAAGCAGAAACCUCGCCAGGUGAAAGUUGUCUCCUCACAACCAACCAAUCUUAGAUCAGAGCCCAAGGGCCAAGGAAGCUCACCAAUUACCUCUCCUGAAAUACCAGCUGAAAGCCCAACAUCUCUGAGUCCAUCACAGAAUGCUUUGCCUAGUGAACGUCGCAGGUUUCUCCAGCAGCUGAGAAGCAACAUAGUAUCAGCAACCUCCACACAGAGACCAGAGAGAGCCAAGAUAGAUGCCCUCCUGCAGGACUCCUGGAUGGGGAAGGAACCAUCAAGAUCUACUGACUCAGACCAGGAAAAGAAGCCUCGUCACAUCAACGCUCCAAAUCCAAACAGAGAUGAUAUAGAAGCAUUGCUUGAAGAGUCACGACAUAUGAGAGAAAGAUCAAGGGCCGAGAUUGCAAAAGCCGAGGAGAACUUAAGCCAUGCAAGACCUGUCUCAAGACAAGGAGGAAAAGGAGGAAAAGACUCAUUUAGAGAAAGACUUGGGGAGGGGUUUCCACCGGCAAAUCAAGGCAGCCUCACUAGGGUUGAUGGGAUAAGUCUAGGUGCCAGACCAAAAUCUGCAGAGACUGCUUUGAGCAGGAAGGAGAGAGUCGGAACCCAAGAUGGAUCAGAAGACAGUACUGACAAUCUUCAAGGAAGUUUGGAUUAUACGAUGAGACAGAGACGACCUCACAGUGCACAUGGAUCGUUGGAUUUGUAUAACUGCCAGGAUGCAAUUGACCGAGAAAUCCAGUGUCUUCGUGCAGCCUCUGCAGCCAUGAGCUCUAGGCCUCCCAACCUGGCCCGCCCCGACAUCCCCUCCCGGAGACCACAAACCCUGACGCACACCAACACGAAGCCAUCCCCACCCCCUCCACAGAGGUAUCUGCCUCCGUAUGAUCACGGUGCAUCACGUUAUGCCGAAUCACCAAGACAGGGUCAGGGUACUGCAUCUUCACAGACGAGAUCGCAAUCUCCCCUUGCUGUCCCCAUCAUCGCAUUCCAUCCACCAUCCCCUGAGGAGAUAGAUCCAUCUUCCAUCCCUACCAUCGCUCGUGCCAAUGAGGUCCUCCAAGCGAGCUACAGGAGCCCCGGAAGUCUUAGAUCCCAGGUUGGCGUUCCAGUUGCAUCUUUGCCGCAGUCGGAAGCAUCGUUGACUGAUCUAGAGAUGCUGCCGUCUUUGGUAAGAGGAGGAGCAAGAAUGGAUGUUCCCAGGACCCAGGCCAGCCUCAAGAACUCCGGAAGAGCUUCCCACGACCAGUCCAGGAUAUUCCAAACCACCUCACCGUCUCCAAAGUUAUCGUCUUCCCACUCCUCUCAUCCGUCUCCUCCCAAGAGGAGAGUUCGAUUAGAUUCUCCUGAUGCACCGGUUGUCAAGGAGGAUGCUGGAUCCCCACCAAGACGAUCUGGAAGACAAAGCAGGCUGAGCAGCCAGGAGAGAAUGACCCCAGAGUUGCCCCCGAUAAUCGAGACCCCUCUUGACGACUUUGACUGGUAAAGUAGAUCCCAACAAAUCCAAGCAACCUAUAGAAAGCAAUGCAUGGAGGUACCAAGGACAAGAAAAAGGCAUUCUCUUCUGGCAGAAAACAAAUAAAUAUUGCCCUAUUGACAGUUUCCUUGGCCUAGGUGUACUUAAAGCUCCAGCACAGACCGUCUUUAACUUAAUCAACAAC
rnacentral:misc_RNA from 1 species